rnacentral:rRNA from 1 species
UCCUGGCUUAGGAUGAACGCUAGCUACAGGCUUAACACAUGCAAGUCGAGGGGCAGCAUGAUCUUAGCUUGCUAAGAUUGAUGGCGACCGGCGCACGGGUGAGUAACGCGUAUCCAACCUUCCCCUUAGUAGGGCAUAGCCCGUAGAAAUGCGGAUUAAUACCCUAUGUUGUAUAUUGAGGACAUCUGAUUUAUACCAAAGGUUCACCGCUAAGGGAUGGGGAUGCGUCUGAUUAGGUAGUCGGCGGGGUAACGGCCCACCGAGCCUACGAUCAGUAGGGGUUCUGAGAGGAAGGUCCCCCACAUUGGAACUGAGACACGGUCCAAACUCCUACGGGAGGCAGCAGUGAGGAAUAUUGGUCAAUGGACGAGAGUCUGAACCAGCCAAGUAGCGUGCAGGAUGACGGCCCUAUGGGUUGUAAACUGCUUUUAUACAGGGAUAAAGUUGGGAACGUGUUCCCCUUUGCAGGUACUGUAUGAAUAAGGACCGGCUAAUUCCGUGCCAGCAGCGGC